rnacentral:rRNA from 1 species
UACGGGGGGGGGCAAGCGUUGUUCGGAAUUACUGGGCGUAAAGGGCUCGUAGGCAGCCAACUAAGUCGGAUGUGAAAUCCCCAGGCUCAACUUGGGAACUGCAUCCGAUACUGGAUGGCUUGAAUUCGGGAGAGGGAUGCAGAAUUCCAGGUGUAGCGGUGAAAUGCGUAGAUAUCUGGAGGAAUACCGGUGGCGAAGGCGGCAUCCUGGACCGACAUUGACGCUGAGGAGCGAAAGCUAGGGGAGCAAACGGG